AGAGAGAGACAUGCGCGCAUAUCAAUAAGCGGAGGAAAAGAAACUAACAAGGAUUCCCCUAGUAACGGCGAGUGAAGCGGGAAGAGCUCAAAUUUGAAAUCUUAAAGGGUUUCCCUUUACGAAUUGUAGUUUAAAGAAGUGUUUUCUGUUGGAGUUUUGGUAAAAGUUCUUUGGAAUAGGACAUCAUAGAGGGUGAGAAUCCCGUAUUUGACCUUUACUUUCAACUUUGUGAUACACUUUCAAAGAGUCGGAUUGUUUGGGUAUGCAGUCCAAAAUGGGUGGUAAAUUUCAUCUAAAGCUAAAUACUGGCGAGAGACCGAUAGCGAACAAGUACCGUGAGGGAAAGAUGAAAAGAACUUUGAAAAGAGAGUUAAACAGUACGUGAAAUUGUCAAAAGGGAAGCGUUUGACACCAGUGUUGUUUUUCUGAAAAUCAAUUAAAGAACUGUUUAUGCUAAGUUGUUUAGACUUUAUCAGCUAACUGUUUAGUUUUGAGCUUUUCUUUAAUGCACUUUUCAGUUAACAAGUCAACAUCAAUUUCUUUUGCUGUAAAAAAGCUUGAGGAAGGUGGCUUGAGAUUCGUCUUAAGUGUUUAUAGCCUCUUGCCUAUGCAGUCGGAGAGAUUGAGGUCUGCAGCGUAGAUCCUUCGGGGCUUAAAUGCAUUUGUGCUAAGUUAUAGCCUUUCAUAGACAACUUGUUGACUAUGAUCUAGUCAUGUAGCUUACUCGCUUAUGCUAUUUUACCUACGCUUAGGAUGUUGAUGUGAUACUGCGAGC
rnacentral:rRNA from 1 species